rnacentral:rRNA from 1 species
UACGUAGGGGGCAAGCGUUGUCCGGAUUUAUUGGGCGUAAAGAGCGUGUAGGCGGCUAUACAGGUCCGCUGUGAAAACUCGAGGCUCAACCUCGAGACGUCGGUGGAAACCGUAUGGCUAGAGUCCGGAAGAGGAGAGUGGAAUUCCUGGUGUAGCGGUGAAAUGCGCAGAUAUCAGGAAGAACACCAAUGGCGAAGGCGGCUCUCUGGGACGGUACUGACGCUGAGACGCGAAAGCGUGGGGAGCGAACAGG